rnacentral:lncRNA from 1 species
GGUUGUUUUUAUCUUUUUUAAAAAUUGGCAUUUUAAGGGGAGGUAACUCUACAAAAGUGCAUUUUCUGAAGGAUUCUGUAUGGAAUUUUCCUAUUUUGUAUUUUAGCCGGAAAAAACGUACGGUGACCCUAUCUUUUCUUUUGAUAUUCUCAAAGCAGUGUCUGAAAGCUAUCUGUUCCUGAAGUAUUUAACAAUUCUAUCAUUUUGUUUAGUUUCUAAUCACAAAAUGGUGUUUUUUCCUGUAUAAUCCAUACAAAAUGUGUCAUUUUGUCCCGUCCUGUAGCUUGGGAAAAUGCGCGGUGACCUAUCAUUUUUAUUAUAUUUUUCAACAUGUAUCAAUAGAUACAACGUUUUGGCAAAGUAUGAACAAAUUCUAUCAUUUUUAUUUUAGACUCCCAUACCACCUUAACUCAUCAGAUAGAUAGAAAUACAAAUA